AUUGAACGCUGGCGGCAGGCCUAACACAUGCAAGUCGAACGAGUGGCGGACGGGUGAGUAAUGUCUGGGAAACUGCCCGAUGGAGGGGGAUAACUACUGGAAAAGGUAGCUAAUACCGCAUACCAUCGGAUGUGCCCAGUUUGGAUUAGCAUGUAGGUGGGGUAACGGCUCACCUAGGCGACGUUACCUAGCUGGUCUGGGAGGAUGACAAGCCACACGGGAACUGGGCCACGGUCAAGACUCUUAGGGGAGGAAGAAGUGGGGAAUAUUCGAAAAGGGGGGAAAGCCUGAUGCAGCCAUGCCGGGUGGAUGUAGAAGGCCUUCGGGUGGAAAAGUACUUUCAGCGGGGAGGCGUUACCCGAAGAGGAAGCACCGGCUAACUACGUGCCAGCAGCCGCGGUAAUAC
rnacentral:rRNA from 1 species